CCCUUAGAUGUUCUGGGCCGCACGCGCGCUACACUGAUGCAUUCAACAAGCCUAGCCUUGACCGAGAGGUCCGGGUAAUCUUUGAAACUGCAUCGUGAUGGGGCUAGAUUAUUGCAAUUAUUAAUCUUCAACGAGGAAUGCCUAGUAAGCGUGAUUCAUCAAAUCGCGCUGAUUACGUCCCUGCCCUUUGUACACACCGCCCGUCGCUCCUACCGAUUGAAUGUGUUGGUGAGGAGCUCGGAUUGGCAGCAGUUGGUGGUUCGCCACCGGCUAUUGCUGAGAAGUCCUCCAAACCGCCCCAUUUAGAGGAAGGAGAAGUCGUAACA
rnacentral:rRNA from 1 species